UAGUCUACGCCGUAAACGAUGGAUACUAGUUGUUUGGCUUUCGGGCUGAGUGACUAAGCGAAAGUGAUAAGUAUCCCACCUGGGGAGUACGUCCGCAAGAAUGAAACUCAGAGGAAUUGACGGGGGCCCGCACAAGCGGUGGAGCAUGUGGUUUAAUUCGAUGCAACGCGAAAAACCUUACCUACCCUUGACAUCCUCAGAACUUGUUAGAGAUAACUUGGUGCCUUCGGGAACUGAGUGACAGGUGCUGCAUGGCUGUCGUCAGCUCGUGUCGUGAGAUGUUGGGUUAAGUCCCGCAACGAGCGCAACCCUUGUCUUUAGUUGCCAUCAUUUAGUUGGGCACUCUAGAGAAACUGCCGGUGACGAACCGGAGGAAGGUAAGGAUGACGUCAAGUCAGCAUGCCCCUUACGCUCUGGGCUACACACGUGCUACAAUGGUCGUGACAAAGAGUUGCUAGUCUGCGAAGGCAAGCCAAUCUCAUAAACGCGGCCUUAGUUCGGAUUG
rnacentral:rRNA from 1 species